AGUGAACGCUGGCGGUAGGCCUAACACAUGCAAGUCGAACGGCAGCACAGUAAGAGCUUGCUCUUCCGGGUGGCGAGUGGCGGACGGGUGAGGAAUACAUCGGAAUCUACUUUUUCGUGGGGGAUAACGUAGGGAAACUUACGCUAAUACCGCAUACGACCUACGGGUGAAAGCAGGGGAUCUUUGGACCUUGCGCGAUUGAAUGAGCCGAUGUCGGAUUAGCUAGUUGGCGGGGUAAAGGCCCACCAAGGCGACGAUCCGUAGCUGGUCUGAGAGGAUGAUCAGGCACACUGGAGCUGAGACACGGUCCAGACUCCGACGGGAGGCAGCAGUGGGGAAUAUUGGACAAUGGGCGCAAGACUGAACCAGCCAUACCGCGUGGGUGAAGAAGGCCUUCGGGUUGGAAAGCCCUUUUGUUGGGAAAGAAAAGAAGCAGGAUAAUACCCCGCUGUUCUGACGGUACCCAAAGAAUAAGCACCGGCUAACUUCGUG
rnacentral:rRNA from 1 species